rnacentral:rRNA from 1 species
AGUGAACGCUGGCGGUAGGCCUAACACAUGCAAGUCGAACGGCAGCACAGUAAGAGCUUGCUCUUACGGGUGGCGAGUGGCGGACGGGUGAGGAAUACAUCGGAAUCUACUUUUUCGUGGGGGAUAACGUAGGGAAACUUACGCUAAUACCGCAUACGACCUACGGGUGAAAGCAGGGGAUCUUCGGACCUUGCGCGAUUGAAUGAGCCGAUGUCGGAUUAGCUAGUUGGCGGGGUAAAGGCCCACCAAGGCGACGAUCCGUAGCUGGUCUGAGAGGAUGAUCAGCCACAAUGGAACUGGGACACGGUCCAGACUCCUACGGGAGGCAGCAGUGGGGAAUAUUGGACAAUGGGCGGAAGCCUGAUCCAGCCAUACCGCGUGGGUGAAGAAGGCCUUCGGGUUGUAAAGCCCUUUUGUUGGGAAAGAAAAGCAGCAGGUUAAUACCCCGCUGUUCUGACGGUACCCAAAGAAUAAGCACCGGCUAACUUCGUG